rnacentral:rRNA from 1 species
CAAUUGGAGGGCAAGUCUGGUGCCAGCAGCCGCGGUAAUUCCAGCUCCAAUAGCGUAUAUUAAAAUUGUUGCAGUUAAAACGCUCGUAGUUGAAUUUCAAAGAACCAAUAUUUUAAUAACGCCGUUAGCUAGAUCCACAAGGGGUUGAGCCAAUCACGGUUUCGGCUUCUGUGCGCAUCCUACCUAUCAAGCGUUUUUUUAAUUAAAGUGUUUCUUUUUAAAAUCUUCUUUACCUUAACCAUAUGGAAGAUUUUGUUACUUUGAGUAAAUUAAAGUGUUCAUAGCAAACAGAUACAGCAUUGCGCGUUUUGAAUACUACAGCAUGGAAUAACAAAAUUGAACAAGUCAAAACUAUGUUUCUUUUUUUUUAUUUUUGGCUUAGUUACGAUUAAUAGGAGUAGUUUGGGGACAUUUGUAUUCAGAUGUCAGAGGUGAAAUUCUAAGAUUUUCUGGAGACAAACAACUGCGAAGGCAUUUGUCUAAAAUACUUCCAUUAAUCAAGAACGAAAGUUAAGGGAGUGAAGACGAUCAGAUACCGUCGUAAUCUU